rnacentral:rRNA from 1 species
AGCGAACGCUGGCGGCAGGCUUAACACAUGCAAGUCGAGCGGGCACUUCGGUGUCAGCGGCAGACGGGUGAGUAACACGUGGGAACGUGCCCUUCGGUUCGGAAUAACUCAGGGAAACUUGAGCUAAUACCGGAUACGCCCUUUUGGGGAAAGGUUUACUGCCGAAGGAUCGGCCCGCGUCUGAUUAGCUAGUUGGUGGGGUAAUGGCCUACCAAGGCGACGAUCAGUAGCUGGUCNGAGAGGAUGAUCAGCCACACUGGGACUGAGACACGGCCAGACUCCUACGGGAGGCAGCAGUGGGGAAUAUUGGACAAUGGGCGCAAGCCUGAUCCAGCCAUGCCGCGUGAGUGAUGAAGGCCUUAGGGUUGUAAAG